rnacentral:rRNA from 1 species
CAGUCGUGCUGGCGCGAAAUCAACCCGCCCGCUGAGCGAUCACCUGCAGUGGCGAGCCUCAAAACCGCCACGGCUCGUGACCACUUGACGGUCUGGUGCACUUUUGUGUCGGCUGGUUAACGUCAAUUUCUCACGUCAUAAAAAGGCCGGAGGGAUGUGGCUCCUUCGGGAGUGUUAUAACCUUUGGCGGAAUGUGGUGUUUGGGAUUGAGGAUUGCAACGAAUACCUUUAGGGCUGUUCCACCUGGCCUCUCGUCGGCACCCUGGCGGCGACAGCUUGCUGACGUCGUUAGGGACCGCCUUCGAACAGGCUAGAGCGUGAGCAAA